AUGGCACCCUUCUCUUUGCUUUCAGACCACUCAUCCUCUGCAGAGAUGUGGUCAGCUGGUCUGCAUGGCUUCCCCAGGUCCAGCAUAGCAAGGUGGCCCAGACGCAGGCUGGGGAAGCGCUGGAGGCUGGACAGACCAGGGGAGUUUAUCAGACAGUGACCCUGAGAUGUGGGAGCUGCUUUGGAGGGAGAAGGACAGACUGCGUCCUCGGCCUGGAGCUCAUCGCCUCAGAGGACUUCUGCAGCAGAGCUGCGCUGGAGGCUCUGGGGUCCUGUCUCAACCACAAGUACCCGGAGGGUUACCGAGGCAAGAGAUACUACGGAGGAGUGGAAGUGGUGGACGAGAUCGAGCUGCUCUGCCAGCGAAGCUUUUGACCUGCAUCCCACAGAGUGGGGAAGUCAAUGUCUAGCCAUACUCAGGGUUCCCAGCCAAUCUGGCUGCCUAUAUGGCCCUUCUGCAGCCUCAUGAUGGAAUCAUAGGAUUGGACCUGCCCGAUGGGGGCCAUCUCACCCAUGGCUACAUGUUUGAUGUCAAACAGAUCUCUGCCACAUGCAUUUUCUUCGAGUCUAUGCCCUAUAAGCUCAGUCGCCAAACUGGCCUCAUCAACUACGACCAGCUGGCACUGACCGCUUGGCUUUUCUGGCCGCAGCUCAUCAUAGCUGGCACGAGAGCCUAUGCCUGCCUCAUUGACUAUGCACACAUUAGAGAGGUCUGUGAUGAGGUCAGGGCACACCUGCUGGCAGACAUGGCCCACAGCAGUGGCCUAGUGGCCGCCAAGAUGAUCCCUUCACCUUCCAAGUACGUUGUCACCACCACCACUCACAAGAUGCUUCAAGGGGCCAGAUCAGGGCUCAUCUUUUACCAGAAGGGAGUAUGGACUGUAGACCCCAAGACUGGCCAGGGGAUCCCUUAUGCUUUUGAGCACCGAAUCAACUUCACUGUGUUCCCAUCCCAAUAGGGUAGCCCCACAACCACGCCAUUGUUGUGGUAGCCGUGGCUCUCAAGAAGGCCUGCACCCCUAUGUUUCGGGAGUCCUCCUUACAAGUGUUGAGGAACUCCCAGGCCAUGGUUGAUGCUCUGCUCAAGCGAGGAUACUCGCUGGUGUCUGGUAGCACUGACACCCACCUGGUGCUAGUGGACCUGUGGCCCAAGGGCCUGGAUGGAGCCCAAGCUGAGCAUGUGCUGGCUCACUACUCCAGGAGGCUUGAGGCUUGGUGCUCCCCCACUGACUUCUCACCAGUUCUGUGAGGAUGACUUCCGUAGAGUCGUUGAUUUUAUCGAUGAGGGAGUCAACCUUGGCUUGGAGGUGAAGCGUAAGACUGCCAAGCUCCAGGAUUUCAAAUCCUUCCUGCUCAAGGACCCAGAAACAAGCCAGCGUUUGGCCAACCUCCCACAACAGGUGGAACAGUUUGCCAGGAGCUUCCUGACGCCUGGAUUUGAUGAACGUUGA